ACAUUUCCUGUAGCAAUAUGGGGAAUGUUUAGCAGCGAAAGGGUGCGUAACACGUGGGUAAUCUGCCAUGAAGUUGGGAAUAACUCGCUGAAAGGCGAGCUAAUACCGAAUGUGAAAAUUGGGAGGCAUCUCUCGAUUUUUAAAGUUGGGGACCGUAAGGCCUGACGCUUCAUGGUGAGCCCGCGGUCUAUCAGCUAGUUGGUGAGGUAACGGCUUACCAAGGCUAAGACGGAUAGCUGGUCUGAGAGGACGACCAGCCACACUGGAACUGAGACACGGUCCAGACACCUACGGGUGGCAGCAAUCGAGAAUUUUUCUCAAUGGGGGAAACCCUGAAGGAGCGACGCCGCGUGGGGGAUGAAUGGCUUCGGCCCGUAAACCCCUGUCAUUUGCGAACAAAUUGCUUCACCUAACACGUGAAUCAUUGAUUGUAGCGAAAGAGGAAGGGACGGCUAACUCUGUGCCAGCAGCCGCGGUAAUACAGAGGUCCCAAGCGUUGUUCGGAUUCACUGGGCGUAAAGGGUGCGUAGGUGGUGAGGUAAGUUUGAUGUGAAAUCUCCGGGCUCAACCCGGAAAUGGCAUUGAAUACUAUCUUGCUAGAGGAGUGGAGGGGGGGACUGGAAUACUUGGUGUAGCAGUGAAAUGCGUAGAUAUCAAGUGGAACACCAGUGGCGAAGCGAGUCCCUGGACACUUCCUGACACUGAGGCACGAAAGCUAGGGGAGCAAACAGAUUAGAUACCCUGGUAGUCCUAGCCCUAAACUGUGCACGUUUGCU
rnacentral:rRNA from 1 species